rnacentral:rRNA from 1 species
UACGGGGGGGGCAAGCGUUGUUCGGAAUUACUGGGCGUAAAGGGCUCGUAGGCGGCCAACUAAGUCGGACGUGAAAUCCCCAGGCUCAACCUGGGAACUGCGUCCGAUACUGGAUGGCUUGAAUUCGGGAGAGGGAUGCAGAAUUCCAGGUGUAGCGGUGAAAUGCGUAGAUAUCGUGAGGAAUACCAGAGGCGAAGGCGGCAUCCUGGACCAUAACUGACGCUGAGGCGCGAAAGCUAGGGGAGCAAACGGG